UCAAUUCUACAUUUUGAACCUGUUUUGACAUUUCGUACAUAGGAUAUAAUGGACAAGGUCAAAACAGGCAAUAACUUUGCCAUUUCUGGCCUGAUUUCCAUGACAUUUGCAGGAAUGAUAGCCCUUUCUGAGGACAUGAAGUCUGCCAUGUUUCAAGGAGAUAGGUGCAGAGGAUUUGAAGAAAUUGCACCCCAAAGCCUUGAGAGCAAAACUCCUGUCACUUGUAUGUGUUAAGCCACAGUGGGGUCAAAACUGCAAGCCUGCUACGCCU